AUGAACGCUGGCGGCGUGCCUAAUACAUGCCAGUCGAGCGAACGGACGAGAAGCUUGCUUCUCUGAUGUUAGCGGCGGACGGGUGAGUAACACGUGGAUAACCUACCUAUAAGACUGGGAUAACUUCGAGAAACCGGAGCUAAUACCGGAUAAUAUUUUGAACCGCAUGGUUCAAAAGUGAAAGACGGUCUUGCUGUCACUUAUAGAUGGAUCCGCGCUGCAUUAGCUAGUUGGUAAGGUAACGGCUUACCAAGGCAACGAUGCAUAGCCGACCUGAGAGGGUGAUCGGCCACACUGGAACUGAGACACGGUCCAGACUCCUACGGGAGGCAGCAGUAGGGAAUCUUCCGCAAUGGGCGAAAGCCUGACGGAGCAACGCCGCGUGAGUGAUGAAGGUCUUCGGAUCGUAAAACUCUGUUAUUAGGGAAGAACAUAUGUGUAAGUAACUGUGCACAUCUUGACGGUACCUAAUCAGAAAGCCACGGCUAACUACGUG
rnacentral:rRNA from 1 species